CCUACGGGAGACAGCAGUGAGGGAUAUUGGUCAAUGGGGGAAACCCUGAACCAGCAACGCCGCGUGAGGGAAGACGGUUUUCGGAUUGUAAACCUCUGUCCGCUGGGAAGAUAAUGACGGUAGCUGAUGAGGAAGCCCCGGCUAACUACGUGCCAGCAGCCGCGGUAAUACGUAGGGAGCAAGCGUUGUCCGGAUUUACUGGGUGUAAAGGGUGCGUAGGCGGCCCUGCAAGUCAGAAGUGAAAUGCAUGGGCUUAACCCGUGAACUGCUUUUGAAACUGUAGGGCUUGAGUGCAGGAGAGGCAAGCGGAAUUCCCGGUGUAGCGGUGAAAUGCGUAGAGAUCAGGAGGAACACCAGUGGCGAAGGCGGCCUACUGGACUGUAACUGACGCUGAGGCUCGAAAGCGUGGGUAGCAAACAGGAUUAGAUACCCGUGUAGUC
rnacentral:rRNA from 1 species